rnacentral:lncRNA from 1 species
CAUGACUACACAGGUGGCAUCGGUGGUCAAGCAGGCCACCAGCCUGUGGGUUGUCCUGCUGUUGGCUCUAGAAGAAAGCCAAAUGACCUCUCUAAGGAUGACAGAGAAUAUUCGGCUUAGUGUGUUGGACUCAGUUGUCGCCUACAUGGACAAUGAAACCAACUUUGACAACAAGCGUGUGCUUUUGCAGUGCUUUGGGAAAGUUCUGACCAGUCUGAUGCAAACAGGAAGAAAUGUGCCCACUAACUUUUUCUUGAUCAAGGAGUAUUUCCGUAUUCCUCUAUCUCAUCUGAGAUCAGUGCUCAGUGCAGCAGACAGCAUAAUCGUGAGGGAGAUUCUGCUGUACUAUAACAGGAACUAUGCCACUUUGCAGCUAACAGAUGAUUACCUGCACACCAUGGUGUCUGUGCUCUUCCAAAUACACCUGCCCAAGGAUAUUAGCCUGUUUUCUGACAUGGGUCUUUUGUUGGCUCUAGCUACACCUUCAGACAUCUUGUCAAUGCCGCUACAAAAUAAUAUCAAUGCGUUAAGCAUAAUUAACGUCAGCAUCAAAAACCUUUCCCUGGAGCAGCAGCAAGCAUUUGGUCGAUGGUGUAGUCAGUCCAUGAGCUUGCCUAACAUGACAGCCGGCAAUUUAUCCGUUAUCAGAGACAUUGGUAACCUGAUCGCCUAUCUGCCCUUCCAGAGCUUCCAGUACCUCUCACCUGCUCAGGUAACAGCCCCAACACCUCACAAAGAUACCUGAACCCAUCUGGCUCCGGUU